AGAGUUUGAUCAUGGCUCAGGACGAACGCUGGCGGCGUGCUUAAUACAUGCAAGUCGAACGAUGAAGCUGGAGCUUGCUCCGGUGGAUUAGUGGCGAACGGGUGAGUAACACGUGAGUAACCUGCCCUUGACUCUGGGAUAACUGCGGGAAACUGUAGCUAAUACCGGAUACGACACCUUCGGGCAUCCGAUGGGUGUGGAAAGAAUUUCGGUCAAGGAUGGACUCGCGGCCUAUCAGCUUGUUGGUGAGGUAACGGCUCACCAAGGCGACGACGGGUAGCCGGCCUGAGAGGGUGACCGGCCACACUGGGACCGUCAAUUCAUUUGAGUUUCUGAGCCAGGAUCAAACUCU
rnacentral:rRNA from 1 species